AACCAACGUGCAAUUCAUGAUUUCCUGAAUACGGGAGUAAAACACUUCGACCGGAAGAAACCACAAGAGCCCGCGGGUUUCAAAAUUUCCCCAAAAAUUCUCUCCCCCGCAACCUCCGCCUCCUCUCCUCCGCAUCUCGCCGCCCCCUCUUCUCCUGCCUCCGGAAGCUUCAGGAAUCCUCUCACGCGCGGAUGGAGAACCUCAACGUCAAGCUCCACAAAAAGUACACCGGCCUCAAGAAGCGGAAGCUGCUCGACGACGAUUGGAUCUCGAGAUGUUGGAAGAGCUGAAGAAGAUGGCAGGCGAGGUCCAGAACCUCCGGGACGAGAACGACCGCCUCCGUGACGAGCUGAUCAACAAAGAGAAGCAGCUCGCGGAGACGCGGAUACUUUUAGUGGAUAGGGAGCAGCAGCUUGCAGAGACCCAAACACUUUUAGUCGAUGAGACUAGGAAGGGGCUGUGCCCCUAUAGGGAUGUACGCCCAUGACAGGUGAAGUGGUUGAUAUGAGGGGUGGACAGAAAUGAGGAUUGAAGGGUGAGAUGAGGAGCUUGUUGGAGAUGUUUUUUGAGAGUUUCUCCUCAUAUUUGACUAUGAUGGGUGGGAUGAGGGCCUUGUUGGAGUUACUCUAAGCACAAGUACUGGUUAUGUUACUUCUUGUAUGGCAACCUUGAAUCAGUUACUUAAUUCUGUGAUUAUAUCUCUGAAAAUGUAGGAUUAUAAUAAAAUGGUUAUGUGCAAGUAAAAA